rnacentral:rRNA from 1 species
AGCGAACGCUGGCGGCAGGCCUAACACAUGCAAGUCGAACGAACCCUUCGGGGUUAGUGGCGGACGGGUGAGUAACACGUGGGAACGUGCCCUUUGGUUCGGAAUAACUCAGGGAAACUUGAGCUAAUACCGGGUGUGCCCUUCGGGGGAAAGAUUUAUCGCCAUUGGAGCGGCCCGCGUCGGAUUAGCUAGUUGGUGGGGUAAAGGCCCACCAAGGCGACGAUCCGUAGCUGGUCUGAGAGGAUGAUCAGCCACACUGGGACUGAGACACGGCCCAGACUCCUACGGGAGGCAGCAGUGGGGAAUCUUGCGCAAUGGGCGAAAGCCUGACGCAGCCAUGCCGCGUGAAUGAUGAAGGUCUUAGGAUUGUAAAAUUCUUUCACCGGGGACGAUAAUGACGGUACCAGGAGAAGAAGCCCCGGCUAACUUCGUGCCAGCAGCCGCAGUAAAAC